GUGUACUUAGGUACACAUAAUAAAACUGGAACGAUACAGAGAAGAUUAGCAAGCCCCUGCGUAAGGAUGACCAGCUUAAUCGUGAAGCGUUCCAUAUUUUU